UGUUCAUCAGGUAUGAAAGGCUGAUCACCUUCAUUACCAUAGGUUUCAGUUAAACUUGUUCAUGUUAAUUGUUGACAUCCAAUAUCAUUGGUUCAGUCAUUCAAUCAUUGAAACUUGAUUCAUGUUAUUUCACAAUUAUUAUAUUGUUGAAAACUUGAAAGCUUAUUCAUUCUUUUCAAUCAUGAUAUAUCUCCAUUGUAUGUAAAACUUGCUGGGCAAAUUUGUUGCUCACCCUUGCUAUAUCAUGAUAAAAUUUUCAGAUUAAGAUGAAGGCUUGAAUAAGGACAGAGGCAAAGACAAAGUGCA
rnacentral:lncRNA from 1 species